rnacentral:rRNA from 1 species
AAUCCAAAACACUUAACGAGGAUCAAUUGGAGGGCAAGUCUGGUGCCAGCAGCCGCGGUAAUUCCAGCUCCAAUAGCGUAUACUAAAGUUGUUGCAGUUAAAAAGCUCGUAGUUGAACCUCGGGCGGUCGUGCGGCGGGUGGGCUUCACGGCUCAUACUCGUCCGUCGGCCGCCCUCCCGCGCGGAGCAACCGGGGUUCCCUUAGCUGGGCGUCCCGGGGACCCGCGUCGUUUACUUUGAGAAAAUUAGAGUGUUCAAAGCAGGCGUUCGCUUGAAUACAUUAGCAUGGAAUAAUGGAAUAGGGCUCCGGUUCUAUUUUGUUGGUUUUCGGACUUUUUGCCGAAGCAAUGAUUAAUAGGGAUAGUUGGGGGCGUCAAUAUUUGAUUGUCAGAGGUGAAAUUCUUGGAUUUAUGAAAGAUUAACUUCUGCGAAAGCAUUCGCCAAGGAUGUUUUCAUUAAUCAAGAACGAAAGUUAGGGGAUCGAAGACGAUCAGAUACCGUCGUAGUCUUAACCAUAAACGAUGCCGACUCGGGAUCGGUGGUCGUUACAAUUGAUGACGCCAUCGGCACCGUAUGAGAAAUCAAAGUUUUUGGGUUCCGGGGGGAGUAUGGUCGCAAGGCUGAAACCUAAAGGAAUUGACGGAAGGGCACCACCAGGAGUGGAGCCUGCGGCUUAAUUUGACCCAACACGGGGAAACUCACCAGGUCAGGACAUAGGAAGGAUUGACAGAUUGAUAGCUUUUUCUUGAUUCUAUGGGUGGUGGUGCAUGGCCGUUCUUAGUUGGUGGAGCGAUUUGUCUGGUUAAUUCCGAUAACGAACGAGACCUUAACCUGCUAAAUAGGACCGCGAGCCCUCGCGCUCGUGCGUCGCUUCUUAGAGGGACCCUCGGUAUCUAGCCGGAGGAAGUUUGAGGCAAUAACAGGUCUGUGAUGCCCUUAGAUGUCCUGGGCUGCACGCGCGCUACACUGGCGGAGGCAUCGAGUCUACAACCUACCCCGACAGGGGCGGGUAAUCUUCGAAACUCCGCCGUGCUGGGGAUAGAUCAUUGCAAUUAUUGGUCUUCAACGAGGAAUUCCUAGUAAGCGCGGUUCAUCAGAUCGCGCUGAUUACGUCCCUGCCCUUUGUACACACCGCCCGUCGCUACUACCGAUUGAAUGGCUUAGUGAAGUCUUCGGACGUGCGCCGGUGGCGGGCAACCGCCGCCGCGCGUCUGCAGAAGUUGCCUAAACUUGGUCAUUUAGAGGAAGUAAAAGUCGUAACAAGGU